rnacentral:lncRNA from 1 species
UUUUAAAUAAUUAAUUAUCUGCCAAUACGAAAUUUGAGUUUGCAACAGAUUAUUUCCACCACGAAAAAAUAAUUCGCAACAGAUUAUUACGUAUUUUGCAACCAAUAAUUUUAAAUAAUUAAUUAAACCAAUAAUUUCAAAUAAUUCGUAACCAAAUAUCCAUUCGUAACCAAAUAUCCAUAUUUGAGUUUGACACGUGGCAAGCAUAUAGAAAGUAACGUGUCAGCUUCUCACAUAAGGUUCAUUAAGGGUUCUACUUUUAUAUAUAGUAAUAGAUUAGGCUUAAACUCUUUGGGCCGAUGAUUUGGACUCAACAAGUUAUUGUUGCUAACGAGUCGGGUCGUUAUAUUUGGUAUCAGAGGCAAUCACCAGUCGGAAGUGUGAGAUAAGUCUUGGUUGAGCCAGAGUUGGAAUCAUAAGGUGACAGGCUAAGCUAGGUCAGGAUGCUAAGAUCAGAAUGGAGAGUUAUUGUUGCUAGCGGAUUGAAUCGUUACACUAAAUGCU